GGACAGAUGGGAGCUUGCUCCCUGAUGUUAGCGGCGGACGGGUGAGUAACACGUGGGUAACCUGCCUGUAAGACUGGGAUAACUCCGGGAAACCGGGGCUAAUACCGGAUGGUUGUUUGAACCGCAUGGUUCAAACAUAAAAGGUGGCUUCGGCUACCACUUACAGAUGGACCCGCGGCGCAUUAGCUAGUUGGUGAGGUAAUGGCUCACCAAGGCAACGAUGCGUAGCCGACCUGAGAGGGUGAUCGGCCACACUGGGACUGAGACACGGCCCAGACUCCUACGGGAGGCAGCAGUAGGGAAUCUUCCGCAAUGGACGAAAGUCUGACGGAGCAACGCCGCGUGAGUGAUGAAGGUUUUCGGAUCGUAAAGCUCUGUUGUUAGGGAAGAACAAGUACCGUUCGAAUAGGGCGGUACCUUGACGGUACCUAACCAGAAAGCCACGGCUAACUACGUGCCAGCAGCCGCGGUAAUACGUAGGUGGCAAGCGUUGUCCGGAAUUAUUGGGCGUAAAGGGCUCGCAGGCGGUUUCUUAAGUCUGAUGUGAAAGCCCCCGGCUCAACCGGGGAGGGUCAUUGGAAACUGGGGAACUUGAGUGCAGAAGAGGAGAGUGGAAUUCCACGUGUAGCGGUGAAAUGCGUAGAGAUGUGGAGGAACACCAGUGGCGAAGGCGACUCUCUGGUCUGUAACUGACGCUGAGGAGCGAAAGCGUGGGGAGCGAACAGGAUUAGAUACCCUGGUAGUCCACGCCGUAAACGAUGAGUGCUAAGUGUUAGGGGGUUUCCGCCCCUUAGUGCUGCAGCUAACGCAUUAAGCACUCCGCC
rnacentral:rRNA from 1 species